rnacentral:rRNA from 1 species
AUUGAACGCUGGCGGCGGGCCUAACACAUGCAAGUCGAACGAGUGGCGGACGGGUGAGUAAUGUCUGGGAAACUGCCUGAUGGAAGGGGAUCACUACUGGAAACGGUAGCUAAUCCCGCAUACCAUCGGAUGUGCCCAGAUGGGAUUAGCUAGUAGGUGGGGUAAAGGCUCACCUAGGCGACGAUCCCUAGCUGGUCUGGGAGGAUGACCAGCCACACUGGAACUGAGACACGUGCCAGACUCCUACGGGAGGCAGCAGUGGGGAAUAGUGCACAAUGGGCGCAAGCCUGAUGCAGCCAUGCCUCGUGUAUGAAGAAGGCCUUCGGGUUGUAAAGUACUCUCAGCGGGGAGGCGUUACCCGCAGAAGAAGCACCGGCUAACUCCGUGCCAGCAGCCGCGGUAAUAC